GGGAGGGAGAAACCCUACCCUGAGCCCAUCUCAGCACUGACUGCUGGGUGAUGUUGGGUAGUAUUUAAGGGGAAAGAAAACUCCUUGACUGUCUUCUUGUCUCUUGAAACUUUUAUCCAGCAGCUGUUCCAAAGCAAAAUGAAACCAUGUUCAGCCAAGAAGAGCAGAGCCACGAAUGUGCAUUCUCAAGAGCUCAGCCAUUAUAAUUACUUUCCAAAGGCCCCAUCUCCAAAUAUACCAACAGAUGAAUUGGAGGAUCAACUUUCCAAGUUGUGAACUUUUGGGGGACACAUCUAAACCACAACCGUAACAAACUCAGGGGAUGUGACACGUUACCAUACAUAGACCCAUCCAAGGAUGAGCAACUGAGCCCAGAGCUGUGUAGACAAAAGCCUCGGGGCUACAACAGGAGUGAGUACCAGGCACGCAUCUCAUGACUUCAGUUCUGCCUGUCACCUCUGCUCCUCCUUCCUGCUUGUGUCUGCAGCCUCAGCUCGUCGCUAAUCUACACUAUUUGAGCUUAAUGCUGGCCCUGCUGUGUUCUAGAGGCUGCAGGUCCAGAGGUUGUAAACAUUAUCACUGUUGCAGAAUAAAAGACCAAUGGCCAGG